CAUACUGACCCCCCCCACUUCACUUUGUUAUUCCACUCGCUUGUCACUCAUCAUUAAUAGUAAUAGCAUCGUAAAUUGGGCACACUCAAAUGUUAGUUGCCAAAGUAUUUAUUUGUUUGCUGUGUCUAAGUUUCAAGACAGAGUUGAGGAUAUCGUAAAUCGGGUUCAUUUUAUUUAUAGUGAAAAAGAAAGUGCAUUAAAAUGAAUUAGUGCGAUGUUUAGAAUUGUCAAGAAAAUGCUCAUCAGUUGACAUUGUUUAAUUAAAUGUUCGUGUAAGCUUGAAAUAGGACAAUAACUUUGAAAUGAACCAUAACCUGAAGAAGUAUAAUAUAAAAAUGAAAAAAUACCUAACGCUAAUGUUGGUCAUAAUGGCAUCCGUGGUAUCGGCUCAAAGGCGCCGUCCUCCUGACCCGGCUCAUAACACAGAGAGUGGCUCUGUGGAAGUAUCAAGCGAAAAAUGCGAUGUUUUGAAGAAUGAUUUCUGCGGUAGUCUCUCUGGGUCGGGCCCAUCACACCCACCUGUAAUUUACAAUGGAUAAUAAAUCAAUUAUAGCUGAUUUUAUUAA